GUUUUAGCUGUUAUGUUGAAGGCUAGCGUCGUAGCUACCUUGGUUGCCUGACUCCAGCCUUCACCGUUCCCCGUAUUGGCUUCUCCUCUGGCCGGUUCUGUGUGUCCGCCGACUUCUCGGAGUGCAGCUAGUCGCUGAGCAUGGGCCUUAUGGCUGACCACAUCUGAGGGCAGAUCUCGGGCGUAACAUCUGAGCGGCAACAUCAAGGCAAUUUGGUUCCAGUUCCGAACGAACGCUGCUGUUUUGUUUGUCUUGUUCUGUUUUGUGUUUGUGUUGUUUCAUUCCGUUUGUGAGUCGGCUGUGUUUAGCCGCGACGAAGUUGAUUAAUUGAAGUGACGGCAGGUGUGUUGCUGUUUGCUUACCCGAGUGACUACGAAUUCAGUCCGGUUGCGGAGGCUAUUCCUUCCCUUGUGUACACUGCGUGUCAUGAUUAUGCGUGGAGUGAUUGUGCCAAUUUAACACUGCUUGCCGUGACAUCUGAGUGCAAUUGGAGUGCUUAUUCACGAGUGUUUCAUUCCCUGAAUAGUCACCUCUACUGACUUUAGCGAACUCACUCUGGAGAGUAGGCCUACUACUACUGCUGUUAGCGAACCCACAUUGGAGAGUAUGAAUACUGACUUGAGCGAACCCACACUGGAGAGAACUCACUCCCUAUGUUCUUAAUUGUAAUAAAGAGUUUAUUUUUGGA